rnacentral:piRNA from 1 species
UAAAUCUCUUCUAUGAAAUUUGCAGCUUGGU